AUCACCUGGGGAUUUUGCUGAACUGCAGAAUCUGAUUCAGUAGGCCUGGGGUGGGGCCUGAGAGUCUGCAUUUCCAACAAGCCCCUAGGUGAUGUCCA
rnacentral:pre_miRNA from 1 species